ensembl:lncRNA
GGUCAUGUGACUGUCAGGAGAGGAAACCAGAUGUCAGAGACAGGCAGCGUCACUCGGCGUGGGAGUAAUGAGAAGGCAGCAAGACGUGAAAAGGGAGACGGGAAGAGAAGGAGGCGUUACUAAGUUUAUAUAGGAUUUGUUACACCAAAGACAGUAAGGCCAAGGGUGUCGAUAAAGACAUUUGACAGGAGAGAGGAGGGCAUAGAGCUGUGUUAAACAGUGGCACUAAACAGUACAGUUCUAUAUACUGUGGAAAGAGGAGACAGGUGAAACUGUAGCAGUUUUGGGGUUGAGAGAUAAGGGUAUUUGGGGGGAACAGUGGAACCGGUGGAACAGUAGCAGUGUCAUACAGCCGUAUCCUUUAGGAGCUGUAUCGUCUUGCAUAGCUUGAGGACUACAGAACCAGCAGAGCGAUGAGUAACAUUUUUAUGAUAGAAUUUAUCUCUCUUCUGGCUGUCUCUGCAACCUGGAGCCAGGAUACAGUUACCCGGAGUGUAGUGGCCAGAGAAGGACAGGACCUCAACUUAAUGUGCAGCAACAAAACUUGGAAUGAGAUGAUCUACACCAUUUGGAAAAUAAACAUUGAUGGAUCCGAGUGUCAAGUAUCAUUUGAUAAUCAAAAGGAACUUAACACAUGCAACGAUGGAAAGCAAAUGCACAACUCAACCAGAGGUGAAUCCUACCUGCUUAUUCCUCAGUUCUCAGUCAGGGACCAGGGUGUCUACCACUGUGAGUCAGUCUACAAAGGUGGGAUCAACUCUCAAGACAUUACCGUAACAAUUAUAGCCCCUCCCGAGGUUAAAUUCCAGCUGGAAAUGAUCGAAGGGAGAAGAGUGGCUGUGUGUUUGGUUAAAGGCAAACCAGCUGCCUCCAUUUCAUGGAGAAACACGUGGAACUCUUCAAUCACCCCGCAGAACACCAAUGACUCAAACCAAGUGACCAGUUCUCUACCCUUGCCAGAAGGCGUCAAUACCGAAAACCUGACCUGUGCAGUCACACAUCCAUUCUGGAACCAGGAGAAAAUGUAUCUACCGACAAACGAGACAGUUGAAGCCACCCAAGACACCCGGCCUUGGCUUCUAGUCAGCAUCUCUGUGGUAACUAUAACGAUCAGCGUCAUCAUGGUAACCCUGGGCGGUUUAUACUUUACACGAAAACACCUCUGCAGAAUAAGAGCCGCCACGCCGUCGGUGUCCAAGGCUCCGCAGCCACAGGACUGUGUGGAGGAAGUGGAGCCCUACGCCAGCUAUGUUCAGCGAGUCAAUUCCAUCUACAACUCCUCUGCAGAGCUUUUCACAUAGCACACGCUCACGCACUCACAUGCACAUCUCACCGUGACGCUGUGAGAAAAUGCCAGUAGAUGAAAGUUAGAAAAGCCACCAUGAGACAGUAAAUGAAACAGAGAGAGAGAGAGAGAGAGAGAGAGAGAGAGAGAGAGAGCGAGAGAGAUCAGGGCCAUCACACAUUAAAUACAACCACCUGGGUUUGAUCAGUCCCGACUGCGGAGGCUGAUGGAACAUGGACAUAACCGACGCAGUCACACCCCCAUCGGCCUUGUUGGCUGAAACCAGCUGAACCCAGGAAAAAUACCCCCUUUAGACAGUUGACAAAAACUUGGCUACAAUACAAAGUGUAAAGACGUUGUUUCUAGAAGGCUGUAGCACAGGAGAACGGACGUCGUCCAGGAACGCAGGCAGUCCGCUCAAGCAAGCCGGUUCUCUCCCCAGUCAGAGGCAACGCGCCCAGUCAGAGGCAACGCGCCCAGUCAGAGGCAACGCGCCCAGUCAGAGGCAACGCGCCCAGUCAGAGGCAACGCGCCCAGUCAGACUCGGUUCUCACGAUAAAAUGGGUACCUGAGUGGGAACCGUUGAGGAUCCGUUUUAUGCACUAGGUCAGCUCCUGGAUAAAAUGUCAAGUCAAACAGCAGUAGUUUCCAUCUCUUCAGUCACUGAAAGAAAUGAUGCCCUCAAAUCUCCCUACACCUCCAGUAAACACAGCCUAAAUCCUCCUGAUGGUCCUGUCAGACCACUAAACGGCUUUUGUUGUGUUAAGCUGGGGUCCCCGUAGAUGCUCUGCCUGAACCACAGGCCUGUGUUUCCAUGAUGGCUUGGACAACUUGUCUCACUACUAUAGCGACACCUAUAAAAUAAUGGCUCACUAGAGCUAAAGCAUGAGAAAAUGACAGAAAACACAGAAAUGUCUAGAAACAAAGAAACACAAGAGCUGGUCUGAGAUGUUGGCAGUUAUUGAUUUUUUGUUGGAAAUUGCUUGAAACUGUGAUUGUUCCGUCACAACUGUAAACCAAAUAGCACAAUGUUCUCACGUGCCUGUGUUUCUUCUGCAAAAAUUACAUUUCAUCAAUAUCUCUGUUGUGUAUGAUAGCUAUGUACUGUAUAAUAGCCAUGAUUAGUGUUGACUUUUUAUUUAUGAUUCAAUUUAAAUUUCAUGGUUGUGUUAUUACUUGAAAUGUUAAACUUUGUGUUCGACAGUUUCAGAUGGGAAAAAGGCUGCAUGCCCUUUGCUUUGAAGAAGAAUUCUCCAGAAGUGAAGCUUAGUAUAUCUGUUUGUAUUGAUAUAAGUCAUACCAUGUGACACUGUCAUGUUAAACUGCAGGGGACCCCUCUGCUGGAGAAGGGUGGUACUCAGUGAAUGGGAACAUUUAUUUCCUUUCUAUGAAAAUGUUUUCUAGGUUUUUGCUUACAAAAAUUAAAGGGAACGGAGGAAUUUAAAAAUGAAUACUGUGAAAACCUUUGAUGGAUUUCUCACUUUCAAAAACGUAGACAUUUCAGAGAGAUCACAGAGUUUGUGUAGGAGACCAGCAGAGGAAGCACUGCUUGAAUAGACACAACGUGAUCUAUAGUGACAAAGCAAAUGAAACAUUUUAGUGUAUGCCAAACAUUUCCAAUCCACACCUACACAUUCCUGCAGGUUACCCACUUGUACGUAUGAGAAACAGGACAGGCACAGUAAUAGGAACACCUACUUGACAAAUGACUUCAGUCUGAGUCACUGUGAGAAACAAAAUUAUACAUGGCAAAGCAAUAAAAGACUGUGAAUCAAAGAGCUUGAUUACACUGAGGAAUUAGUAACUAGUAAUAAGCUGUUACUAAAUUUCACAAAAUGGAAAGGGCAUAUUUGGGGCAAAUCUCCAUCCCCUGUCUAGCAUUGCAUCAUAACAGAGAACACAAGCCACCAGAGGUCUCUUCUAGACAAUACUAGCAAUGACGGCAAAAAAACAGAGCAACAUCUGCUAGCAUAUGGAGGACCAAAAUGAAAUAAUAUAAAAAAUAUUUAAAUGCAUAAUUAUUUUAAGUGGUACAUUGAUAGGAAAUCUUUUUAUAAGGCCCCUUUUUAAAAUAGUGGUAUGAUAUUUCAUAGUAAUACAUUGUCUUUCCUAAUCUUUUUAUUUUCAUCGCAACAGGUAUUUCAUAAAAUCUUUGCCUUUUUCAAAAAAUCGUGAUCUAUUUCAUAAAUUCAUGGUGUGUCUCAUCAUUUAAUGAUGUUUUUUCAUAACUGAAUUACAUAUUCCAACAUUCAAUUACAUAUUUCAACAUUUAAUGGCACAUUUCAACAUUUCAAUGUAUUUCAAAGUGUAUUUAAUGAUCACAAGGGAUAUGUCAAUCAAUGCACGUGGGUGGACUUUAGCUACGGAUAGGCUAAUCCAGCAACACCAGCUUCACCAACAGUUGCUCGUUUGUGGCCUUCAAACAGGAUUUUGCAGCAUUAGCGGUUGUACUGAGUUAUAGCAAUUCAUCAAGUUUGUAUGAAGAAAGUACUAGCAAAAUCCCUAUUAUUAAGUACAUAUGACAGUAUGUGGCAAUAGAAAUGCUAAAACAAACGAAAAUGCAGGUUGUCACUGCCAGUGUCUUUAGGGCUAUUGAGCCCUGGGUCUUUUUGGUGUAGCCCCAUUACGAGAAGCCUAAAGCAAACAAUACAUGCAUCGCCACUUGAAUAGAACAACACGGCGCGUUUUCGCUCCACGUAACGAGUCAAUCUGCAAACCCCGCUAACAGAGCUGGCAUCUAGCGACAAGAUAUCCAACAAGAUGAACCCCUAGG